rnacentral:rRNA from 1 species
AUUAAACGCUGGCGGCAUGCCUCACACAUGCAAGUCGAACGGCAGCACGGGGGCAACCCUGGUGGCGAGUGGCGAACGGGUGAGUAAAGCAUCGGAACGUGCCCUGGAGUGGGGGGAUAACGUAGCGAAAGUUACGCUAAUACCGCAUAUUCUGUGAGCAGGAAAGCAGGGGAUCGCAAGACCUUGCGCUCUGGGAGCGGCCGAUGUCGGAUUAGCUAGUUGGUGGGGUAAAGGCCUACCAAGGCGACGAUCCGUAGCGGGUCUGAGAGGAUGAUCCGCCACACUGGGACUGAGACACGGCCCAGACUCCUACGGGAGGCAGCAGUGGGGAAUUUUGGACAAUGGGCGAAAGCCUGAUCCAGCCAUGCCGCGUGAGUGAAGAAGGCCUCGGUUGUAAG